GAUGAACGCUGGCGGCGUGCCUAAUACAUGCAAGUCGAGCGAACAGACGAUGAUCUUGCUCCUCUGACGUUAGCGGCGGACGGGUGAGUAACACGUGUAUAACCUACCUAUCAUACUGGUAUAACUUCGGGAAACCGGAUCUAAUACCGUAUAAUAUAUUGAACCGCAUGGUUCAAUAGUGAAAUACGGUUUUGCUGUCACUUAUAGAUGGAUCCGCGCCGCAUUAGCUAGUUGGUAAGGUAACGGCUUACCAAGGCGACGAUGCGUAGCAGAACUGAGAGGGUGAUCGGCCACACUGGAACUGAGACACGGUCCAGACGCCUACGGGAGGCAGCAGUAGGGAAUCUUGCGCAAUGGGCGAAAGCCUGACGGAGCAACGCCGAGUGAGUGAGGAAGGUCUUCGGAUCGUAAAACUCUGUUAUUAGGGAAGAACAAAUGUGUAAGUAACUAUGCACGUCUUUACGGUAACUAAUCAGAAAGCCACGGCUAACUACGUG
rnacentral:rRNA from 1 species